CCUACGGGUGGCAGCAGUGAGGAAUAUUGGUCAAUGGACGCGAGUCUGAACCAGCCAAGUCGCGUGAAGGAUGAAUGCCCUAUGGGUUGUAAACUUCUUUUAUAAAGGAAUAAAACGCGGCACGUGUGCCUUUUUGCAUGUACUUUAUGAAUAAGGAUCGGCUAACUCCGUGCCAGCAGCCGCGGUAAUACGGAGGAUCCGAGCGUUAUCCGGAUUUAUUGGGUUUAAAGGGAGCGUAGGUGGGUUGUUAAGUCAGUUGUGAAAGUUUGCGGCUCAACCGUAAAAUUGCAAUUGAUACUGGCAGUCUUGAGUACAGUUGAGGUAGGCGGAAUUCGUGGUGUAGCGGUGAAAUGCUUAGAUAUCACGAAGAACCCCGAUUGCGAAGGCAGCUUACUAAGCCAUGACUGACAUUGAUGCUCGAAAGUGUGGGGAUCAAACAGGAUUAGAUACCCCGGUAGUC
rnacentral:rRNA from 1 species